GUUACUGAUUGCACAAGGUUGGAAUUCCUGUUGGUAAUUAUAAGGCAUUUGAUUUGAUUAAGCUAGUUACUUGCUAUUGAUUGCUGGUUAAUUAGCUAUUGUUUGCAAAUAAGCAGAGGCCUACCCAGGUGUUAAACAUUCCUAGUGGGUGGUGAUUUUAGGAGUUAUAUAAGGCUUGGUGUCAUUAGCUUGUCUAAUAUAGCUUGGUGCUACUUCUAAGUGCUGUUUCUAAGUGUGUAGUUGGAGAUAUUCUGGAG